rnacentral:lncRNA from 1 species
AAACAACUUACAACUAGCUCAGGGACUUAAUACAAGCAGAGUCUAUUUCUUUCUUUCACAUAUUUGCUGUGGAUCCAGGUGAUUUUCCAGGGCAACUUCCCCACAGGUGUUGGCUCUGCAUUCCACGCUGCACCUGUCUCAUGGCACUUCUGUCUUAACAGGUGAUCACUACCACAGGAUCAUAGCUGAAUGCCAACCACAAAACACUUUGGCAAUUGCAGAAGGCAGGUCUCAUUCCUGUGUAACCAGUUAUUCAUAAACAUGAGUUACACCUUUUGACUCUCACCCCUUCCACUUCUCAGUUUCCUUCUCUGGCUUCAUUUUCUCCUUUAGUGAAGAAGAUGAACAAGAUGACUUUCUGCCCAGACAUUCUGAAGUGAAACAUGCCCGGCAGGCUGAGCAUGGUGGCUCUCGUCUGUAAUCCUAGCACUUUGGGAGGCUGAGGCAGGAAGACUGCUUGAGGCCAGGAGUUUGAUACCAGCCUUGGCAACAUAAUGAGACCCUGUCCAUAUUUUUAAAAACAACAAAACUAAAUACAACAUGCCCAAAAGUCUUGCACUCCUUUAUCUUACUGUCUUGGGGCUCUGGGUCAGGUGCUCUGAUCUCCCCAAGGUCACCCUAUUUUGUGAGAAAUAUCUGGCUCCAUCCCUGAGGAGCUACCUAGCAGACCUGGCUCAUGCCUUCAUGCCUCCAUUCUUGCUCCUGAUGGAUGAAGUUCAUCUGCCUUAAUUUAGUGUCUGAGGUUUUCUAACUUCAGUCCAAAUUAGUUUUCCAGACUCACUGGACAUUUCAACUCUAGUCCAAAUCAACAGAUCACUCUUCCUUACAUAUGGCCUUGGGCCUCAGGUCACCCUCCUUUUCUCCUUGUUCACUCUGCUCUUUCUACGUUGAUCUUGUUUUUGGUUCCUUGAAUAUGCUGAGCUUGUUCCUGCCCCAGGGCCUUUGCGCUUGCUGUGCGUUUGCUGUGCUCUUCCUCAACCCACUCCAUCUCCUCACUGUCUUCUCAGCUGAGACGUCACCACCUUAGAAGGGACUUCUUUUUCACCACCUCUGGAGCAUUGCCAUCUUUAGUUUCCCCAGCAUAUUGACUUCAUGUCCCUUCUCCCAAUCAGAAGGUAUCUAGUAUUUUUUAUUUAUUUACAUUUGUUGUUUGUCCUUCCCAAUUAGAAUGUAAGAUCAUGAGGGCAGGAGCUGUGUCUGUCUUCUUUACUCAUGUAUCCCCAGCACUUAUUUUUAUUUUUGAGACAGGGUCUCUCUCUCUCACACAAGCUAGAGUGCAGUGGUGCAGUUACAGCUCACUGUUGCCUCGAACUCCUGGGCUCAAGCAAUCCUCCUGCCUCAGCUUCCCAAAUAGCUGAGACUACAGGUAUCCACUACCAUGUCUUAUCCCCAGCACUUAGUACAGUGAGUGGCACAUAGUAGUUGCUCAGUAAAAUUUGUCAACUAAAUUGAUGCUGCUUCUGAGUAUUCACUCUCCUUCCUUCCUUCACCUGAACUUCUCCUUCACCCCAUCCCCAUUUUAGCAUCUCUGCAGGCUACAUGUUCUUUCCGUCAACUAAAAGAUUACUUCUUUCAUGAGUUUUUCACUUAUCAUGUUUCCAGUCCCCCUUCCCCCAGCAAGAAGGUAUCAUUCUCAAAGGACAACUAUAUUCUCCUUAUGCUUCUGAACCUCACAACAACCCAGGGGUAAAGUCCUCAGAAACAAAGAGGCUUGGAGAGCUUCUGUGGCUGGGGUGUAAUCCCUUCAUGCCUUAAAACUGUGUGUCUUGCCUUCAAAUCCAGCACCAAUCUUCCACAUGGCAGCAAUGUUCGUUUCCUUUUACAUGCUGGUUAUACACAAAGAAACCAAACUGCAGUCCCUAUCUCAGUGGGAACAACAGCUCAUUGUACCUACUUCUCUCCUGAUGGUCCAGGUGUCAUAGAAGAGACAUGUCCUGGGCGUCAAAGGAACCCCAAGGAGACUGCACCCUAGGACCGGUGGGAAGUGGGCCUGUGAUGACUUCCAGGAGGACGUGCUUUGGGAAUCUGGUCUUGAAAGAGGAGAAGUUGGCCAGGCUGGAGGACAAGAUGGACAUUUCAGGUCAAGACAGCCUCAGGACAGCAUUGGAGAAAGGGCCAACGGCCCCAGAUUUGCUCUCUGGUGGCUAUUCAGAGUCAUAGAUACCUCUCCCUUGAUUUUGGUGCAUGGAGAAGACAUGAAGUCAGAUGCGACUAGAAUAGGCACCCCACCACCCCCAGGGCUGCACAGGUCCGUGGUGGAGGGUGGUCUCAGGACUGGUGAAGUAAAAACCAGCCUGGAAGGAGAAUAGUAAAAAGACCCGGAAAGGGCUAGCAGAGAGGGGGCAUUCACAGGGUGAAAGUUUAGCACCAUGGACAGCAAAAGCCAGGGACUCCUGGAAAGUAGGCAGUCGGAAGUCUGCACCAGGGGCCAGAUGACUGCCCCUGACCAGGGGUCAUGGUUGCAUAAAGCCUGGAUUUCAAACGAAGGUCUCUGCUAACCUUGGGGCCUUCGAUGUCUCUGGUUGGCAGGAGAGGUGCUGACUAAGCGGCUGUUCAUCAUAGCAAGGUGCGUUAUCAGUCCCAGUUCCUCAAGUAAUUAAUCCCCCCCAUGAAGCUUUUUUGUUCACAGCGAGUGUUAACUGUGACCGCUCCUCCACCAUCCGGACAGUGAAACUUACUCUCAUUUUUCUGGAGGGUAAAACAGAGGCAGAGAGAGUUGAAAUGCUUUGCCCAGAAGCCCUGCAAGCAGAGAGUGCUGGAACUAGAAUUCCCAGACCUGGACUCUCGAGUUUAUUGCUUACCUUCUUUAAGUCAUGUUCUUCUUCCCCCAUAGCUCAAUUAAAAACAAAAUAAGACAAAACAAAAAGCAAUGUUUCCUGAACAGAAAAGCACAGAGCCAG